UUCUUUUUUAGCUGAAAUUGUUGUUCGAUUUCGGAGAGGGAGCCUGAGAAACGGCUACCACAUCCAAGGAAGGCAGCAGGCACGCAAAUUACCCACUCCCGGCACGGGGAGGUAGUGACAAAAAAUAACGAUGCGGGACUCUUUUGAGGCCCCGUAAUCGGAAUGAGUACACUUUAAAUCCUUUAACGAUAAUCAAUUAGAGGGCAAGUCUGGUGCCAGCAGCCGCGGUAAUUCCAGCUCUAAUAGCGUAUAUUAAAGUUGUUGCGGUUAAAAAGCUCGUAGUUGGUUCUGCGUGCCACGCUGUCGGUUCGCCCCCUGUCGGUGUAACUGGCAUGUCGUGGCAUGUCCUGUCGGUGGCGAACUAGGGCCACACUCGUUUUCCCCACUUGGGCUUCGUCUCGAGUGCGUGGAGCGGUGUGGUCACUCGGUUCGCCGGCUCUAUCCUGCCGCGGUGCUUUUAACCAAGUGUCGAGGUAGGCCGACACGUUUACUUUGAACAAAUUAGAGUGCUCAAAGCAGGCUUAAAUCUCUGCCUGAAUAGUGGUGCAUGGAAUAAUGGAACAGGACCUUGGUUCUAUUCUGUUGGUCUCCGGAACACAAGGUAAUGAUCAAUGUGGACAGGCGGGGGCAUUCGUAUUGCGACGUUAGAGGUGAAAUUCUUGGAUCGUCGCAAGACGCACUAGAGCGAAAGAUUUGCCCAAGA
rnacentral:rRNA from 1 species